rnacentral:rRNA from 1 species
UACGGAAGGCAGCAGUGGGGAAUAUUGCACAAUGGGCGCAAGCCUGAUGCAGCCAUGCCGCGUGUAUGAAGAAGGCCUUCGGGUUGUAAAGUACUUUCAGUCGUGAGGAAGGUGUUAAGGUUAAUAACCUUAGCAAUUGACGUUAGCGACAGAAGAAGCACCGGCUAACUCCGUGCCAGCAGCCGCGGUAAUACGGAGGGUGCGAGCGUUAAUCGGAAUUACUGGGCGUAAAGGGCACGCAGGCGGUUAAUUAAGUUGGAUGUGAAAUCCCCGGGCUUAACCUGGGAAUGGCAUUCAAGACUGGUUAGCUAGAGUCUUGUAGAGGGGGUAGAAUUCCAUGUGUAGCGGUGAAAUGCGUAGAGAUGUGGAGGAAUACCGGUGGCGAAGGCGGCCCCUGGACAAAGGCUGACGCUCAUGUGCGAAAGCGUGGGGAGCAAACGAGGGAUUUAGAU